rnacentral:rRNA from 1 species
CUUUUAGCAGGGAAGAAGCGAAAGUGACGGUACCUGCAGAAAAAGCGCCGGCUAACUACGUGCCAGCAGCCGCGGUAAUACGUAGGGCGCAAGCGUUAUCCGGAAUUAUUGGGCGUAAAGAGCUCGUAGGCGGUUUGUCGCGUCUGCUGUGAAAUCCCGAGGCUCAACCUCGGGCCUGCAGUGGGUACGGGCAGACUAGAGUGCGGUAGGGGAGAUUGGAAUUCCUGGUGUAGCGGUGGAAUGCGCAGAUAUCAGGAGGAACACCGAUGGCGAAGGCAGAUCUCUGGGCCGUAACUGACGCUGAGGAGCGAAAGGGUGGGGAGCAAACAGGCUUAGAUACCCUGGUAGUCCACCCCGUAAACGUUGGGAACUAGUUGUGGGGUCCAUUCCACGGAUUCCGUGACGCAGCUAACGCAUUAAGUUCCCCGCCUGGGGAGUACGGCCGCAAGGCUAAAACUCAAAGGAAUUGACGGGGACCCGCACAAGCGGCGGAGCAUGCGGAUUAAUUCGAUGCAACGCGAAGAACCUUACCAAGGCUUGACAUAUACGAGAACGGGCCAGAAAUGGUCAACUCUUUGGACACUCGUAAACAGGUGGUGCAUGGUUGUCGUCAGCUCGUGUCGUGAGAUGUUGGGUUAAGUCCCGCAACGAGCGCAACCCUCGUUCUAUGUUGCCAGCACGUAAUGGUGGGAACUCAUGGGAUACUGCCGGGGUCAACUCGGAGGAAGGUGGGGAUGACG